AGGGCUUGACAUGCGGGGUGAAGCCGUGGAAACACGGUCCUCCUUCGGGAGCCCGCACAGGUGCUGCAUGGCUGUCGUCAGCUCGUGCCGUGAGGUGUUGCCUUAAGUGGCGCAACGAGCGCAACCCCUGUCCGAUGUUGCCAGCGAGUAAUGUCGGGGACUCAUCGGAGACUGCCGGUGCCAAACCGGAGGAAGGUGGGGAUGACGUAGACCUUGGACC
rnacentral:misc_RNA from 1 species